rnacentral:rRNA from 1 species
UUCCUACGCAACGUUCAUCGGCGUAGGGUGAGUCGGCCCCUAAGGCGAGGCUGAAAAGCGUAGUCGAUGGGAAACGGGUUAAUAUUCCCGUACUUUUAUGCAGUGCGAUGUGGGGACGGAGAAGGUUAGGUUAGCGGCCUGUUGGAAUAGGUCGUUUAAGCCGGUAGGCUGGUGCGGUAGGCAAAUCCGCUGCACCUUAAGGCCGAGAGGUGAUGACGAGGGUCUACGGACCUGAAGUAACUGAUACCACGCUUCCAGGAAAAGCCACUAAGCUUCAGCUGCAUAAGAACCGUACCGCAAACCGACACAGGUGGGCAGGAUGAGAAUUCUAAGGCGCUUGAGAGAACUCAGGAGAAGGAACUCGGCAAAUUGACACCGUAACUUCGGGAGAAGGUGUGCCUCUGUCGGUGUAGGACUUCGCGUCCGAAGCUGAUAGAGGUCGCAGAGAAUAGGUGGCUGCGACUGUUUAACAAAAACACAGCUCUGUGCCAACACGAAAGUGGACGUAUACGGAGUGACGCCUGCCCGGUGCUGGAAGAUUAAAUGAUGGGGUGCAAGCUCUUGAUUGAAGUCCCAGUAAACGGCGGCCGUAACUAUAACGGUCCUAAGGUAGCGAAAUUCCUUGUCGGGUAAGUUCCGACCCGCACGAAUGGCGUAACGAUGGCCACACUGUCUCCUCCUGAGACUCAGCGAAGUUGAAAUGUUUGUGAAGAUGCAAUCUACCCGCUGCUAGACGGAAAGACCCCGUGAACCUUUACUGUAGCUUUGCAUUGGACUUUGAACAGACUUGUGUAGGAUAGGUGGGAGGCUAUGAAGUACGGACGCUAGUUCGUAUGGAGCCGUCCUUGAAAUACCACCCUGGUGUGUUUGAGGUUCUAACCUUGGUCCGUGAUCCGGAUCGGGGACAGUGCAUGGUAGGCAGUUUGACUGGGGCGGUCUCCUCCCAAAGUGUAACGGAGGAGUUCGAAGGUUACCUAGGUACGGUCGGAAAUCGUGCUGAUAGUGCAAUGGCAAAAGGUAGCUUAACUGCGAGACCGACAAGUCGAGCAGGUGCGAAAGCAGGACAUAGUGAUCCGGUGGUUCUGAAUGGAAGGGCCAUCGCUCAACGGAUAAAAGGUACUCCGGGGAUAACAGGCUGAUUCCGCCCAAGAGUUCACAUCGACGGCGGAGUUUGGCACCUCGAUGUCGGCUCAUCACAUCCUGGGGCUGUAGCCGGUCCCAAGGGUAUGGCUGUUCGCCAUUUAAAGUGG